CGGAUGCUCCGACUCCUCGCAUGGGGGGUCGGGAAAGAUUCAUCGGUAUGGGAUGGGGUCGCGUCCUAUCAGGUAGUCGGCGGGGUAACGGCCCACCGAGCCUACGACGGGUAGCCGGCCUGAGAGGGCGACCGGCCACAUUGGGACUGAGAUACGGCCCAGACUCCUACGGGAGGCAGCAGUGGGGAAUAUUGCACAAUGGGCGCAAGCCUGAUGCAGCGACGCCGCGUGCGGGAUGACGGCCUUCGGGUUGUAAACCGCUUUUGAUCGGGAGCAAGCCUUCGGGUGAGUGUACCUUUCGAAUAAGCACCGGCUAACUACGUGCCAGCAGCCGCGGUAAUACGUAGGGUGCAAGCGUUAUCCGGAAUUAUUGGGCGUAAAGGGCUCGUAGGCGGUUCGUCGCGUCCGGUGUGAAAGUCCAUCGCUUAACGGUGGAUCUGCGCCGGGUACGG
rnacentral:rRNA from 1 species